rnacentral:lncRNA from 1 species
CUGCGUGUGAGCUGCAAGCUCUAGGACAGCCUGGCCGCGCGCUCCUUCCCUCCCUGGAGGUCAGACCCUGAUACACCCAGCCACAGUCCCUGCUUCCCACCAGCAUCCAGCCCUCAUCACCGUCUACCUACUGGGCUCUCCCCAGGCCCCCGCACCAAAGCCCCGUGCUCCAGGCCCCAUCCCCACCAUCCUUCCUGGGCCUGUGCCAGGCAGGGGGGACCAACUGGGCUGCCAUCUGCAGAUGUGCAACCACCAGCAGGGCGCAGGCUUGGGUGGUCAGAUGCCCCAGAAGUGCUUGCUAACUCAAAGACAAGGAACAGAAAUUAAAGGUAUGCGAGUUUGAGAAGACAGAAAAGAGUCACCAUUUGAAGAUGAAAUGACUAUCUACCUAGGAAGUAGAAAAGGACCUACUGAAAAACUAUUAGAAUGAACAACUGAUUUCAUCAAAGAUGAAUAUGAAAAGUUUUGUUAUUUUAUAAUAAAAGUUAUUCUUCAUUAGAUCAAAUGUUCUGUAUUUACAUUAUCAGAAGGACC